AGAGCUGAGGAUCUCUGUCAGCUAUUUAUAUCGGUAUUUCUCUAUCGAGACCCAAAGCGCUCAGCGCUUUUGGCAACAGCAGUCUUAACCUUGUUCACUCGCCAUGGUAUAUCUGUGAAUGUCAGUAUGGAAAGGCUUACAGCCUUUUUGGGGAAUAUUUUGACAGACACAGCAGAGGAACAUAACCCUUUACCUACAGGUUGGGGCAUGUGUGAUGGCCUUCUGUCACUGAUUCUCCACAGACUAUCUGAG